AUUUACGGCCCUGGGAUGCGUUGAAUUGGCGUUUCUCGCUGGUCAAUUAUAGUUUUCCGUCGUCUUCUGUUUUUGAUGACAAAGAGUGAGGGAUUGUUGGUAUUUUUGGUUAGAUCGCCGCUAUCUGAUAGUGAGAGGAGAGAAAACAGAGUGAGAGUUCAGUUGAUAAGAGAUAAGUUUUUUAAUCUAAAUUUUACGGUCGUUCGAUUAAGGGUUUUGUGUGUGAUUCAAUUUAUCUAAAUUUUAUGUUCAUUGGAUUAAGGGUUUUGUCUCUGAUUUAACGAAUAUGGGUUUUGUUGUGGGUCAUUGUUCAUUUUGAUUCAGGGUUUUGUGGGUGAUUUAAUAAUAAGCAUGCAUGGGUUGUGUUGUGGGUUUUGCAUAUCACAACGUUUAGAUUGGGAGGGUUAAGGAUUGGUCUGUCCAAAUCAAGAUACAUAGUGAUCGGUUGAUAGAAAAUUGAUUGAGCAUUUCAUCCUGUUUUUUUUUUUUUGCUUCUAAUUUGUGUUGAUCUUCUGUUUUCAUAAUUGACCUUUGAAAAUAUUCCUUCUGAUUUUCAUCAACUUCUUUACAGUGUGUUUGGAUGGGGGAAAAAGUGAGGGAAUUUAAACAAAAAUAAGGAUUUCCCAAUUUCUUAGGACUGUUUCCAGCGUUUGGAUACUUAUCCCAUGAAAUUAGCAAUUUCCACAGAAACAAAUCGUGGAAUUUGAGGGCGCAGAUUCCUGACUUGAAUUCCUCUCAAGGUAGGUGUCAUUCUUCAAUUCCAUCCCAGCCGGAAAUCUCAUUUUCCAAAGCGCCAAAAUCAAAACAUGCCGCACUAAGUUUUGAUCCAAAACAACUCUAUAUAAAGCCACAAAACUUGCAAGACCUGGACUCCAAAAUUUGCGAUUGUUCUCAUAUCUGAGUUUUCUUCUGCUGCUAAAAAGGUUUUGCAAUCGUUCUUGUCGUUGAGUUUUCUUCUGCGGACCCUCUCUACCACCGCUGAAAAGGUUUAGGACGUAAAAUUUUUGAUGGGAGGAAACAAAGUUCAAUACCUAUAAAUAAAGGCUGAAGGUCCCUUCUCUAUUCAUUAUAUACACACAUACAUUAUUCUCAAACCCCAUUACGAGAGUGUCUAAGGAGAUUGCAUAGAGAAGAAGAGUUUCAAUGGCCACAGGAGGUCGACAUUUUGUUUGGUCACAGUUUAUUUUGGGGUACGCUUUUCAACUCAAGGCUCUUGAACUGUGGACAUUAGCCUAAUUACAAUGUUGUUGCUUUCGAGCAGGGCUCUGAUGAUAAAUAUAAAAUAAAAGUUUUUCGAUUGUUUUUCUCUACAUCUAUCCAAAUUUGGGAUUGCUUUAUGAUUCAUUUUAUUUCAAGGUUUCGGAAUUUGGAUCCAUUAUUGUUUAUUGGUGAUUGUUAGUGUUUACCGAUCUCAAGUAACGUUUAUUUGAAGAUUAUAUGCACAUUAAGGAUUUACAAAGAUAAAAUUCUUGGAUUGGAAGAUGAAAACAGUGAAAGUCAUUGUGGUUGCGAUGUUGUCUGCUAUCGAUUUUUUUUUUUAUUACUAUUAAAUUUUUAGACAAUUAGAUUAGUUUGUUUCGAACUGUUUCACAUGUUAUCGGGUAUAUAAACUUUUUUAUCACCAUGUUAAAUGGUUUUGCAGUACUGUUUUUCCUUUGUUUUGUUUUUGUUUUUAUUUUUUGUUUCUCUCCCAUAACUUAUUUCAAAACAUCUACAAUGGAAUUGGAGUUGAGCUGUUAGAAUACACAACUGCAACAAAGAGUGUAUCAGAGCCAAUUCUAUGAAUCACAAAGUUUCAUAGUAUUUAAAUUAGGCUAACUUCAGAUAUGCUUGGUGCACUUUGGAUAACAAAGUUUCGAUGAUAAAUAUUGUUGACAUUUGGUCAGUUUUUUUUUUUUUUUUGGCAAGUAGGAAAGGGACAAAUUUAAGUGGUAACUGUGAAUGGUUUUCUGUG